GUGCUCGCUUUGGCAGUAUACUGAAAACGAAACGAUACAGAGAUUAGGAUGGCUCCUGCGCAAGGAUGACAUGUAUAUUUGUGAAGCGUUCCAUUACUUU
ensembl:snRNA U6 U6 spliceosomal RNA